GCCCGGGUGACGAAACUGGUAGACGUAGCGGACUUAAAAUCCGCGGGCUCAGGCCGUGCCGGUUCGAGUCCGGCCCCGGGCACCA
rnacentral:tRNA from 1 species